CAAAUAUGACAUAAUGGUCAAUAACAUUAUCGCAACUAGAUAACAUGUAUGGGCCCUAUCUCAAGGAAUGAUUUCUAAAGAGGAUCAAAGUUGUGAUGGAUUGGGAAAUUUAAGUAAUGGAGACAAAAAUCUCGAGGAAGGAAGUGGCGGUUCGAAGGAGGAUGUUAUUCCUGAUUUUAUGGAAGAUGUUAAUAGGAUGGUGGCUGAUUAUAAUGUUACAAAUAACAGUAGCAACCAUAGUAGUGGUAAAAGAAAAGCUAUUAAAACCUCCAUACCUCAACCUAAAAGAAAAAGGGAUCUAAAAUGGGAGCUAAAUUAUUCUCACAUCUAGAUCGACUUGUUGAGAGUGUUUUGAUAGUUAAUAAUUAUAUUGUGACUUCAAGAAACGAGACAGGGUGUAGCAUUAAGGAGGUAAUGGUAGAGUUUUAUUCAAUACAUGGUGUUGACUUUGAAAGUCCAAUACACAACUUCACAACAAAAUUCUUCUGUGCAUGAAGCAAGAGGGAGAUGUGGAAAGCAGUGGAAAAUCUUGAUAGAAAAUACUUUUGGUUGAAAAUAAUGUAUGAACGACAAUCAGAACAGUAGAAAAAAAAGUUUGUUAGAGAGGAAAACAAUAUUAUUGUUGUUUACCACUGUGUUCUUAGAAGGAUCGUAAUGGCAUGAUAACUUCACAUUGAAUAAAUCAUGCUGUGAAUUUUUUAUUUUAUGUUCUUUAUAUAGUUCUUAAUAACCUGCUAUUAAGUUCUCUAAAAUGUGAACACAAUGUCUUAUAUUAAUAUAUUGUAAUGAUAUUAUAAUGCUUUUAUGUAGUAAUUGUAUUGAUAUUUGUUAGCCCUACUAUAACUGCAAAUUAUCGGAUGAUCUAAUUAAACAAUGAUGAUUGUGUUAACAUCAUUUAUGUUGAGAACAAGUCCCCAAUUAAGUUGCAAUUCAUGUAAAUUGUCAUAAUCUAUUGAAAUUAGUUUUAUUU